ACACAUGAUUAAUUACAUGGAUUCUCAUUCAGCUAAUGACUUGCUGCUGAAACAUAGAAAUCUGAAUUUU
rnacentral:snoRNA from 2 species